ACUCCUACGGGAGGCAGCAGUGGGGAAUAUUGCACAAUGGGGGAAACCCUGAUGCAGCCAUGCCGCGUGUGUGAAGAAGGCCUUCGGUUGUAAAGCACUUUCAGUAGGGAGGAAGGUAGUGUAGUUAACACCUGCAUUAUUUGACGUUACCUACAGAAGAAGCACCGGCUAACUCCGUGCCAGCAGCCGCGGUAAGUACGGAGGGUGCGAGCGUUAAUACGGAAUUACUGGGCGUAAAGCGCAUGCAGGCGGCCUGUUAAGUCAGAUGUGAAACGCCCGGGGUCUUAACCUCGGAAUUGCAUUUGAAAACUGGCAGGCUAGAGUCUUGUAGAGGGGUUAGAAUUUCAGGUGUAGCGGUGAAAUGCGUAGAGAUCUGAAGGAAUACCAGUGGCGAAGUCGGCCCCUAGGACAAAGACUAGACGCUCAGAUGCGAAAGCGUGGGAGCAAA
rnacentral:rRNA from 1 species